CCUACGGGGGGCAGCAGUAGGGAAUCUUUCACAAUGGGCGAAAGCCUGAUGGAGCAACGCCGCGUGCAGGAUGAAGGCCUUCGGGUUGUAAACUGCUUUUAUAAGCGAGAAAUAUGAUGGUAACUUAUGAAUAAGGAUCGGCUAACUACGUGCCAGCAGCCGCGGUCAUACGUAGGAUCCGAGCAUUAACCGGAGUGACUGGGUGUAAAGAGUUGCGUAGGUGGCAUAAUAAGUAGCUAGUGAAAUCUGGUGGCUCAACCAUUCAGACUAUUAGCUAAACUGUUAAGCUCGAGACCGUUAGGGGUAACUGGAAUUUCUAGUGUAGGAGUGAAAUCCGUAGAUAUUAGAAGAAACACCAAUAGCGUAGGCAGGUUGCUGGGACGGUUCUGACACUAAGGCAUGAAAGCGUAGGGAGCAAACGGGAUUAGAUACCCUGGUAGUC
rnacentral:rRNA from 1 species